UAGAGAUGGGGUUUCACCAUGUUGUCCAGGCUGGUCUCGAACUCCUAAGCUGAAGCAACAUGCCUGCCUAGGCCUCCCGAAGUGCUGAGAUUACAAGAAUGAGCCACCACACCCAGCCAAGGAUUUUGACUCUUAUCCUAUGAAUAAUGAGAAGCUGCUGGAGUGUUUUAAACUAGCAAGAAAACUAACAAAGUUUGCAUGUUGGAAAAUGUGCUUGGCAAUAAGCCAUUUCCAGCUUCUGGUAAUCAUUCUAUUCUCUACUUCAAUGAGAUCAACUUCUGUGGCUCCCACAUAUGCCUGAGAACAGAUGCUGGUUACGUGAGUGUGCUCACUUUGAUUUGUGUGUGUUCCUG
rnacentral:lncRNA from 10 species